rnacentral:misc_RNA from 1 species
UCUCCGUUGGUGAACCAGCGGAGGGAUCAUUACCGAGUUUACAACUCCCAAACCCCUAUGUGAACGUUACCAAACUGUCGCCUCGGCGGGAAAUUCAUGCCCCGGGCGCGUCGCAGCCCCGGACCAAGGCGCCCGCCGGAGGACCAACCAAAACUCUUUUGUAUGUCCCUCGCGGACUUUUAUAAUUCUGAACCAUCUCGGCGCCCCUAGCGGGCGUUUCGAAAAUGAAUCAAAACUUUCAACAACGGAUCUCUUGGUUCUG